rnacentral:lncRNA from 1 species
AUUAAUCCUAUGAAAUUGGACUUAAAGGACUGAAACUACUACUAAUAAUAACAAUAUGGUUUAUGCAGUCAAUAAUAUGGUUUAUUUAAAGUCUGUAAAAUUAUUCUUUCAUUGCUUGUGUUGUAUCAUUAGUUACAUUUUAUUAUGAAUUCGAUUAUUUGCUUGUAAGCUUAAAUUAUUAAUUGUUUGCUACAUAAGUUUUCCUUUCUUGUGUAUCAUGUUUAUGCUACAUAUGCAUUCAUUAUGAAAUAUUCUUAAGUGUCUGCAUAUAUGUGUAUUUAUGUAUUUGUGUAAAUAUACAUAUGAUACGAUCUAUAGCUCAUAAAGAUUGUAUUUGUGAAUUUGAUUAUGUUUGAGAAGUUAUGGAGCCGGGUGAAUGGUACUACCCCCGUGCUCAAGUGAAUUACUGGUAAAGUGUUUUAUGUGGAAGUUAGCUGUGGGCCCUAGUCCCUUCAGAUAGUGCAUUAUUAUACUCAUUGGGAUGGAAGUGCCAAACCUUGAGUAUACAUGCUUUGGCAAGUGGCCUUAGUAUGCUGCGGCUUACCCGUGCUUUGGUAUAGUGGACCUAGCACGUGGAUUUUUUUUGGAUUUGUUACCAGUUACUCUGAAAUAUUCACUGAGAAGAGAAGUAUAUUAUUUUGAUUGAACAGUUUGCGAUAUUAUUAACACCUUAUGAUGCUAGGUGAAAAGAUAAUCGAGUAUACAUACACCUUUAUGAGUUAAAUCAUCUAUUGAUGCUGCAUUUGUCGAUUUGGUAAAGGAUUUUAUGAUAUUUGGUAUUCAAAGUGGAUUAUAUUCAAUGUGCAUUAAUAAUUGAUUGUUUUAUCAUUUUUACUUCGUUAUUCAAUUUGCAUCAUUUUGUAAGACAAAUUAAUAUAAGAUUGUGGUCUAUACUUGUCACAUCUCGACCCUUAUAUUUUUACCUUAUUUACUAGCCUGAUUAAAAUAAGAAUUUUACCGUCUCGAUCAUUGAGUAAAUAGUUUAAUUGGUCCCUAGAGGGGUUUCGGGGACGAUUAUGUGCGGAGGAUUAUUAGUAUGAGGAAAAUACGACGACGGUAAAAAUGGUAAAUUUUAGCUAGUAAAAGGUAAUUUUUAUUCGGGUAUUAUUUUUUCGGGGUGUUUUUAUUUUUUGGAAGUGGGUUGAUAUAGGUUGGACCGGUGGAGGCCCAACCCAUUUUCUUUUUCCUCCUCCCUUUCUCUUCUUCCCUCUUUUCUUUUCCUCUCCCCCGAGCCUUCCGCUGCCCGGUUUUCCGGCUGUCCUCCCGCCGCCGUCCGACCUCCGUUCGCCGCCGGACCGGUCCCGUUCGGUCGGUCUCCCUCCCAGCAACAUUUCUAGACCG